UGAUAUAAUUUUAGCAUAGUGAAUGUUGUAAGUUUAGAAUGUCCAUCGGCUUGAACGAGGGAGAAGGGCAACUGUUCUGUUCUGUUGAAGCCAGGACAAUGCUGACAAUGGCAGGCCCUUGCUGCCUCGUCGGACUUCGAUUAAUCCGCGGUAGAUAUAGCUUAGUGGCUAACGUUUGUCACCCUCAAGGUAGUGUGAAGUGCACAUAGCCCUUAACUUAUGGUUUUUCUAGUGAUUAAAUCAACAAUGAUUGAUCUCCAAUUAGUCCCAACAGCAGCAAUCUCAGGCAAGCAAAGCAUGAAUCAUCAUUCUUCAACCGGAUAUAUCAUGAUGGGAUGAUCCCGACUGGACAAGUGUUCGAAAUCAACAGUAUUAGACCCAAAAUUAACCCAAAAAUCACAGCAAUAUCAGCGAGCUGAUGAACUGCCGUUCUCUCUCCCUGAGUUGUAAUAACUCAGUUGAUGAAUUGUCCUGGUUGAUGAGCCCUGAAUUCAGUAAUGUAGAAUAGCAAUCAAAGCAAAAUCAAUUCCAAAAUUAAAGCGAAAUCAUAAUAAAUUCGAAUCUAUUUUAAGAGCCUAAUCAUAACGAAAUCAGUCCCAACAUCAGUCCCUAACUUAGAGAAAUCACUAUGAAAUCAAAGCAAGAUUAUAUCAAGACGACAUGGUCACUGUAGCAAAACACAGCGGGCACCCAUUGAUUCUAGGAUACGUUUGAAUAAAUAGAGCUAAAGAUGAUGUAUUCUUGAUCCAGUUAACCUCACAAAAUCGGAUCCUAACAAGUAGAUAUCGAGCAAUGUAAGCAGGCUCACUCCCACAAGAAAUCAAGUAUAGCAGAGGUUUUUUCCUUCACAAAUGCAUUUUGCACUAUGUUCUGCCCUAUCUCAGUCAAUUGACCCAACAAUCAACUAUCACAGUAGUAGCAAGUAAUUGACUCAUCAAGACUUAGUAUAGUGAAAAUAGAUAACUUAGCUUUUGACGAAGGUAGAACAACUGCUCUGUUCAGUCGAGCAUGCAGCGGAGCGGCGAACCUCGCCAGCCCUCG
rnacentral:lncRNA from 1 species